rnacentral:rRNA from 1 species
CCUACGGGAGGCAGCAGUGAGGAAUAUUGGUCAAUGGACGAGAGUCUGAACCAGCCAAGUAGCGUGAAGGAUGACUGCCCUAUGGGUUGUAAACUUCUUUUAUAAAGGAAUAAAACGAGGCACGUGUGCCCUUUUGCAUGUACUUUAUGAAUAAGGAUCGGCUAACUCCGUGCCAGCAGCCGCGGUAAUACGGAGGAUCCGAGCGUUAUCCGGAUUUAUUGGGUUUAAAGGGAGAGUAGAUGGGUUGUUAAGUCAGUUGUGAAAGUUUGCGGCUCAACCGUAAAAUUGCAAUUGAUACUGGCAGUCUUGAGUACAGUUGAGGUAGGCGGAAUUCGUGGUGUAGCGGUGAAAUGCUUAGAUAUCACGAAGAACCCCGAUUGCGAAGGCAGCUUACUAAACUGUGACUGACAUUGAUGCUCGAAAGUGUGGGUAUCAAACAGGAUUAGAUACCCGGGUAGUC